AUCUGUACAAAAGGAAAAUCUACUUGAACUCAGAUCCAUCAUUGAGGGGGCAUGGAGAACAACUAUGUGAACCAGCACAGCAUCUGCAACACUUGAAAUGAAGGUCCAAACAAAAACUUCAGAGAUAAAUCAGUAGUACCCCAGGAGGAGACUUCAUCUCUUGCUUGUCACCAAGGACCUUUGCUGCCGGGCUGCUGCAUCCUGACUCUCUGUGCUUCCUCUCCUCCUGAUCUGUCAGUCUUGACUUGAAAGAUUGCCUGGCUUUGGCAGUAAGUCUGCACAACCCACCGCCCCACCACACACCUCCUUCCAUCAAGGUAAUAAGUAAUACAGUGGUUAGGGAAGCCUGGCUGCUGGGUUUGGUACCUGUGUUUGAUAUCCUUUGUGUUAAGGAGGAACCUCUGUCUUCCCAGACAACAUCCUAGAUGUUAAUCUCGAAGUCUGAGGUCUUCUGUUUCAGAUUAGAAACAAAUCUAAAUGAUCACAGAAAAUUUGUAUUAUUUGCAGAUUGCAUCCCAUGGUUUUACAGAAAUCUGUUCAAUACUUCCUUUUUAGUAUUUAGUUUUCUUCAAAUACAUCCUCUGUUAGCCUUGAGAAAUGAUGCUACAUAUAUUUUAAACAAAUCUGGAAAUGUAAUGUAUACCCAUUUAUUUGGGUAGGACCAUUGGAAAGCCUCAUUAAUACACAUUUAAAAUUCCACCCUCAAUCGUUAACUUUCAGAGUAAUUAGUAUUGUUCUAGAAAUACAGUUGCUUCCUACUGCAACAACCAGAAAGAAAGAAUUACUCCCCUGACACUUUUGGAGGAAUAAUAUAUAUAUAUUUCACAUCACUUUUCUUAUUCACUAUAAAUCACAGUGAUACAGGAGUCAUCUUGUCCAUAUUUGACAUUCCUCCUGAAGUUAUUUCAACUUCUCACUGAAAUAUACUUAAUUAUUUAUCUGUUUCAUCAGAUCUGCACAAUCUCCCCAGAAGAAAUAAAUGACAUAGUUCAGGUAUGCGAAGGACACUUAGCUUCUGAGACUGAACAAAGUGUUUACAAACUUCCCAAGUGAACAUAACACUGGAGAGAGAUCAAAGGAGAAAACCCAGUCCAACACUAUCAGAUGGAUUAAAGAGUAUGUAUAAUCUUGCAGUUAUAUUGCUCAAGUUUCAGGACCUGAAAGGUUCUCUGGGCAUUCCUAAGAGAAGAAGAAAGCAACUGACAUAAUUUGUUCAAGAUAAAUUCCAAGGGUAGAAGUGAGCAGUUCUGUAAAUUGGAGAGUUCUAUGUACUUACUUCUCAGCACCAUUACCCUCUCGGUGUGAGAACUAGACCUGAUACUCAUUUGAGCAGAGAUGCAGCCCUUAAGCAGAGCUGCUGUAAGCUCUUUUCUGUUGUUUUUUAUGACUUGUUUUUCUGUUUGCAAGGAUCUGAAGAAACAGUUUCUGUGAAAACUUUAAUUUGGUAUUUAUCUGAACGCAUUCCCUCCCAACAACUCUGCCUUACGUUCUGAGCUCUGUCAGAUUUGUUCCUGUCUGCAGAUGCGGGAGGGAGAUGUGUUACCUGAUAAUUUUCCUCCCACAUCUGCUCUGACGUCAGCCUUUUCAGGGCAAAGAGUGUGUGCCACUUCUGAGCCUUCUGUAACUGACUGCUGCUUGAAACUCCAACUAGCAAUAACUCAUGCAUUUCCAGCUGUCCAUUGCAACUAAAUGAGUGCAUGUUAAGAAUUUCUGCUCUAUGAAACUGUUUUUCUCUAUUUUUUUAUUAGAGACAGAAUGGCUACAGGAAACACAGUGCACUAAUUGGUCUAUCACAGCCUCAUCUAUAUCAGUUCGUAUUUGCUCUACUGUCUGCUGACUGUUUGGAUACAUCUCACAAAAUGCUACAAGAUGUUCUGCUCUCUAAGAAGUGUACACUGUGCUUGGAUUCAAACAAUUUGAUUUUCUUGAGACAAGAAAAAACACUAAGUGUCACAAGUAACUGCAACAGCACUGCAGGUAUGUGUUUAAAGUUUCCAUUUAAGCUCACCGUGAUUCAUCUUUUUAUGUGUAAAGUAACUGUAU